AUAUUAUUAGGCGGAGGGAAAGAGACUAACAAGGAUUCCCUCAGUAACGGCGAGUGAAGCGGGAAAAGCUCAGACUGAAAAUCUUCGGAAUUGUAGUCUGGAGAAGUUAGAUCAGUAUUGUUUGUGGAAAAAGCCUCCUGGAACGGAGCGCCUUGGAGGGUGAUAGCCCCGUCAUUCACAAAACAAUGCAUACGAUCAACUUUCUAAGAGUCGAGUUGUUUGGGAUUGCAGCUCUAAGUGGGUGGUAAAUUCCAUCUAAAGCUAAAUAUUGGCCAGAGACCGAUAGCGCACAAGUA
rnacentral:rRNA from 1 species